rnacentral:rRNA from 1 species
GGAAUCUUGCGCAAUGGGCGAAAGCCUGACGCAGCGACGCCGCGUGUGGGAUGACGGCCUUCGGGUUGUAAACCACUGUCGGGAGGGACGAAGCUCUGACGGUACCUCCAAAGGAAGCACCGGCUAACUCUGUGCCCGCAGCCGCGGUAAUACAGAGGGUGCAAGCGUUGUCCGGAAUCACUGGGCGGAAAGGGCGCGUAGGCGGCCGGGUAAGUAGGGGGUGAAAUCCCGUGGCUCAACUGCGGGGCUGCCUCCUAGACUGCCUGGCUUGAGCGCGGUAGAGGCUGGUGGAAUUCCCGGUGUAGCGGUGGAAUGCGUAGAGAUCGGGAGGAACAUCGGUGGCGAAGGCGGCCAGCUGGGCCGUUGCUGACGCUGAGGCGCGAAAGCGUGGGGAGCAAAC